GUUCUCUCUUCAGCAGCACAUAUACUAAAAUUGGAACAAUACAGAGAAGAUUAACAUGGCCCCUGCACAAGGAUGACAACACAAAUUUGUAAAGCAUUCCAUAUUAAA